rnacentral:lncRNA from 1 species
GUCUUUUGGAAAUGCGGGAAUCAUAUAGGGAGAUGUGCUGAGCCUAGGGGACAAUGAUGUCAAGGCCAGCAGGGGUUUCAGCACAUGAGAUCUGCACGGAGAACAUUUCCGCCUAGAAAUCUUCGAGGGUUGCAACUUCACGGGCCAGUGCCUGGAGUUCCUGGAGGACAGCCCCUUCCUCCAGAGCAGGGGCUGGGUCAAGAACUGUGUGAACACCAUCAAGGUGUACGGGGACGGAGCAGCAUGGAGCCCUAGAAGCUUCGGAGCUGAGGACUUCCAGCUGAGCAGCUCUCUUCAAUCAGAUCAAGGACCGGAAGAGGCCACCACAAAACCAGCAACAACCCAGCCACCUUUCCUGACUGCAAACCUCUGAGCCUGGAACCGAUUGACAUGUAAAUGCACCUGCACCGUUUCUGAGCCGGGAGAGUGUUUACUUAAAAUCAUGCCCUCAGUUUUCAUUUCUCUGCCAGUUUGUUAGGGAGGUGGAGCCUUCUGUGUGUCAUAUCUGCCAGCGGGAGGCCCUCCCCACCCAUGGCAAGGGCCCUGUCUCUUCUGAAACAGCCGUCCAACCCUCCACCCCACAGCCUCCUUGGGCCUUGGCACCCUGCUGGCCUCAGGCCUCCACAAUCUCGCACCUCAGCCCACAGCUGAUGAUGGUGAUGAUGUUGAUGAAUAUUUAUGGAGCACUGACUUAAUGCCAGG